GACGAACCGUGCGAACGUUGUUCGGAUUCACUGGGCUUAAAGGGCGCGUAGGCGGACGGUCAAGUCAGGGGUGAAAUCUUUCAGCUCAACUGGAAAAGUGCCUUUGAUACUGAUCGUCCCGAGGGAGGUAGGGGCAUGUGGAACUUCCGGUGGAGCGGUGAAAUGCGUAGAUAUCGGAAGGAACGCCGGUGGCGAAAGCGACGUGCUGGACCUCUUCUGACGCUGAGGCGCGAAAGCUAGGGGAGCAAACGGG
rnacentral:rRNA from 1 species